rnacentral:rRNA from 1 species
UCCAGACUCCUACGGGAGGCAGCAGUGGGGGAUAUUGCACAAUGGGGGGAACCCUGAUGCAGCGACGCCGCGUGGGUGAAGAAGCGCCUCGGCGCGUAAAGCCCUGUCAGCAGGGAAGAAAAUGACGGUACCUGAAGAAGAAGCCCCGGCUAACUACGUGCCAGCAGCCGCGGUAAUACGUAGGGGGCAAGCGUUAUCCGGAUUUACUGGGUGUAAAGGGGGCGCAGACGGCGAUGCAAGCCAGGAGUGAAAGCCCGGGGCCCAACCCCGGGACUGCUCUUGGAACUGUCAAACUAGAGUACGGGAGAGGUAAGAGGAAUUCCUAGUGUAGCGGUGAAAUGCGUAGAUAUUAGGAGGAACACCAGUGGCGAAGGCGUCUUACUGGAUCGAAACUGACGUUGAGGCUCGAAAGCGUGGGGAGCAAACAGGAUUAGAUACCCCUGUAGGU